rnacentral:rRNA from 1 species
UACAGAGGUGGCAAGCGUUGUUCGGAAUUACUGGGCGUAAAGGGCGCGUAGGCGGCCAUCUAAGUCAGACGUGAAAUCCCCGGGCUUAACCUGGGAAUGGCAUUUGGGACUGCAAGGCUGGAGUUUGGCAGAGGAGACUGGAAUUCCUGGUGUAGCAGUGAAAUGCGUAGAUAUGCGGAGGAACACCGAUGGCGAAGGCAAUCCCCUGGGCCUGCACUGACGCUCAUGCACGAAAGCGUGGGGAGCAAACAGG